AUAACGACUCUCGGCAACGGAAAUCUCGGCUCUCGCAUCGAUGAAGAACGUAGCGAACUGCGAUACUUGGUGUGAAUUGCAGAAUCCCGUGAACCAUCGAGUCUUUGAACGCAAGUUGCGCCCGAAACCUUUGGUCGAGGGCACGUUUGCCUGGGUGUCACA
rnacentral:rRNA from 1 species